rnacentral:rRNA from 1 species
AUGAAACUAACCCAGACUGACGUUGUUUUCAACAGAACUACCAUGGUGUUGCUUUUGUGCAGAAAUAAAAGUUCUCGGAUUGGAACGGAACUUUUUGGAGAAUUUUUAUACAAUAAAAGAAAAAUACUGGAGCCAAGAACCACCAGAGGGGGGGGUCCCUGGGGGAGCACAACCCACCAGGGCACGGCCCCCGUCCUGUCAUGCCUAUGUGGGUUGUGCCCACCUGGUGGCCCCGCAGACCCUGAUUCCAACUCUAUAAAAUCCUAUUUUUGGAGAAAAAACCAGGGAGAAAGAAUUAUCGCAUUUCACAAGACGGAACCGCCGCCACCUCAUGUUCUUCAUCAUGAGGCCAGAUCUGGAGUCCGCUUGGGGCUCCGGAGAGGGGGAUCUUCGAUCUUCAUCAUCACCGACCCUUCUCCAUCGCCAAUUCCAUGA